GCACUUUCGUAGUAACCAUGCCCUGAGGAAAGAUCAUUGACGGAGAACUUUCAAUUUUUUUCUUAUGGGACCUUAUAACACAGACAGUGGGAACCAUUAUAUCUACAACCAUGGUUUUGACCUUGACUGCAAGAAUCAGAGCGGCGUGGCGCUGCCACCCUGGUCCAGCUAAAAUAAGAACGAUCGACUUCUCACCAUUUCCUAACGUGGCUACACCGGACCUGUCCUGGAGAGCAACCACGUCUCGCAGCAGCUGCUGUAGCAUCACGAGUGAAUCAAAAACUCUGGCCAGCUAUAGGUGACCAUGCAAGGGCUUCCCCUUUAUUUCUGGGCUGGCUUCCAUUCCGACGGAGCGAGCGGUGGAGCGGGCGCGGUGGCCGAGUCCUUUUCCCACCACUUCAAUCAUCACAAUCCGUCGCUGCAGGCCGUCAAGGAGCUAAAGCGGCCCCCGGUGGCCGUCGAAGAAAACAAGUGCCUCCUACCUCCAACUACACGUGAUACGCCUACAGGUUGAGAGGGGUCCAGCAUUUGGUUUCCUGGCGAAGUGCCUAGUGAUGAGAUCCUGGUGUCGGGCGACGGGAGGGACCGGAUCGUCUGAAUUUCGCGUUUGACUUUUAUCCUCCAGUUGACGGGGCACAACGCGCCGCUGGUGGCCAUCGACAUCAACGACCUGACGGGCGACAUCGCCAGCCCCUGCUCCGGCACUUUGCUCCACAUCUGGUCCAUCAACAGUGACCCGCUGCUGGCCAGCGUACACAGCCUUGGUCGGCCAGAUCGGCCGCUCGCAGCAGGCAGUUGACGAGUUCCCAACGAGGAAAGACCGGUACAAGUGAGAACGAAAAAACCGGCCGAGGCUCCUAAACUCGUCAAGGAAUCGGAAGGAGAUUCCCUCGACGAAGCUGAGCUACUCUGCAGAGAGAGGCGCGGUCCGUCAGCAGUCUGCCCAUCAACUGCCAACACCAAGCAAGGACCCGACAGCAGUAAACUAUUCCAGUUAUCUUUUUAAAAUCAAAUUCUUAAUACAUUUUUUUACAAGUGGAGUUGACAGACCAUUGACUUGGGAUCGAGGCCUUUUCUUUUUAUGGGAAUAACCCUUAAUUGCAUUCUUCAAAUAAAGAAUAAAGACUGAUCCUUAGGCUUAAGUGAAUUAAUGUUUGGGGGUCGAUCAACUUUGAAAGAGAAAGGCAACAAGUGUCGAUUGGCGCAAUAAUAUUUCUUUUUAGUAAUUUGAUCUUGAUGUGAUUUUUGAGAAAAAACAGGAAAAUUG